GACGAACGCUGGCGGCGUGCUUAACACAUGCAAGUCGAACGGAAAGGCCCUGCUUUUGUGGGGUGCUCGAGUGGCGAACGGGUGAGUAACACGUGAGUAACCUGCCCUUGACUUUGGGAUAACUUCAGGAAACUGGGGCUAAUACCGGAUAGGAGCUCCUGCUGCAUGGUGGGGGUUGGAAAGUUUCGGCGGUUGUGGAUGGACUCGCGGGUUAUCCGCUUGUUGGUGGGGUAGUGGCUUCCCAAGUUUUUGACGGGUAGCCGGCCUGAGAGGGGUACCGGCCACAUUGGGACUGAGGUACGGCGCAGACUGCUACGGGAGGCAGCAGUGGGGAACAUUGCACAAUGGGCGGGAGCCUGAUGCAGCAACGCCGCGUGCGGGAUGACGGCCUUCGGGUGGUAAACCGCUUUCGCCUGUGACGAAGCGUGAGUGACGGUAAUGGGUAAAGAAGCACCGGCUAACUACGUG
rnacentral:rRNA from 1 species